ACGGAAGGCAGCAGUGGGGAAUAUUGGGCAAUGGGCGAAAGCCUGACCCAGCAACGCCGCGUGAAGGAUGACGGUCUUCGGAUUGUAAACUUCUUUAAUUGGGGAAGAAUAAAUGACCUACCCAAAGAAUAAGUCACGGCUAACUACGUGCCAGCAGCCGCGGUAAUACGUAGGUUGCAAGCGUUGUCCGGAUUUACUGGGUGUAAAGGGCGUGUAGGCGGAGCUGCAAGUCAGAUGUGAAAUCCCGGGGCUCAACCCCGGAACUGCAUUUGAAACUGUAGCCCUUGAGUAUCGGAGAGGCAAGCGGAAUUCCUAGUGUAGCGGUGAAAUGCGUAGAUAUUAGGAGGAACACCAGUGGCGAAGGCGGCUUGCUGGACGACAACUGACGCUGAGGCGCGAAAGCGUGGGGAGCAAACAGGAUUAGAUACCCUGGUA
rnacentral:rRNA from 1 species